rnacentral:lncRNA from 1 species
GGUAGCUACCCUGUUAGUCAAAAUUAAUGGCAGUAUGAACAAACUGUAUCUUGCAUUAGCAUGGAUGCGUUAUCACGUGUCUUUGUGGGAAGAUGGAAGUAGUGGUGCUAGGGGUACAUCCGCUUUUGUGACACUGAUGCAUUGAGGGUGGAAAUCAAAUAGGAAUAAAUGUUGUGUUUAGGAUGGAGGUUGCAGAAGUUUUGUCUCAAAUCAGUUUCUGAUUCCUGGCUGUGUGUCAUAUAAAGAAGUGCCUUUGGGGAGGAUUGAUGAGCAAUCCCAUCUGAAGUUACGAGUUUGUUUUAAAAUAUAAUAGAAUGCAUGAAUUGAUUGGAGAAACAAAAAGAGUUCUUCAGGACUAGAAGUGCUGAAUGAUUAUUUUAAUGACUACAUACAUAUGUGAGGAGAAAAGAAAGAUGUCACCAGUAGAGAGGAAUGCAGAAAAGAUGCAUCAUUUCUUCUUUCCGUUUUUAUUCAAGGAAAAAGUGAUUAAUGGAACAUGAAGAAACGGGUUGCUUGGUGUGAGUGAAAUGACUGAAUCCAGCUUUCUGUUUCUUGACUUGUGUGCAAGACAGAAUAAAACUCAGACAGCAGAUGUGUAAUGGGCUUCCCUUCAAAUACCUGACCAUUCUUGGAUCUGUUGGAAUGUGCUAUUUGUUGUGGGCUAUGGGGCAGGAGGUGGGGAGAACAAGAUGGAAGAGUUGGACUCAGUCCAGUCCACGAUGGGUGGAUAGUGACACUGUCAUGUGUGCCCCUCUGACGGUGAAGUGAAAGCAGUUUGAGUACCAUAUAAAGGACAAGUAAAGAUGAAACUUCAGAGCCUGCCUGAACAGUUGGAUCACGUCCACAUCUCCAAGUGUCCCAGAAGUCCAGGAAAACCUCUCAGACCUUUAUUGCUUGAUUUUGUAGCCCAGUAAAUACGGUUAUAUUUGCUGCUGCUUGAGGCAGGCAGCAGUCUGUCACAUGUCUCAGGAAAUGUGUAAAGAAUGGGAAAUGUAUAAAGGGAACAUAUAAAAAGCAAUGCAAGUGGACCUGGGAACUGAGGAGGAAGAAACCUUAGCACCAGUGUCACAUCCCUCCUAGGGUGACCUUGGAAUACUAAUAGCUCACUUCAAUACCCCCAAGCUUCAUCACUCUGAGGGGCUUCAAAAGGGUAGACAUAACAUUAAAAGAAAGGAAUAAGUUUUCCUAAAUUUUCUUGUAGAAAAAUGUAAAAGACAUUACUAGUUAUACUUUGCUUUGUAAUUUUGUUUUGGUUUGCUUUCAUCUGCAGCUCCAUGAGUUUUUCACUGUGCAACAUUCCUGUUUAGUUUUGACAGGUUUGUUAGCCCCAAACUGUUCUUUCUAAUUCUGUACCUCAUGCUAAUGUCUGAGUAGUUUCUUCUUUUCCUCAAGUCAUUUUGGAGAGCAGAAGCUUGCUGAUCAGCACUUUACAUCAACUGAAAUUUCCAACAUUUAGCAACAAAACUGCGAAACCUUAUAUGACAUACAAUGAGAUUGCCAGCUUAGACUUCUUAAUUCAGAGCUUGAAUAGUUUGCACAGCCAUUUUCCCCUUCCCAUUAUUUUCCAGCUCUUCUUUUCAUUUUUAGUUCAUAGCACGACUGCACAGUAGCAGAUUUCACUUACAUGCUGGUGUACUGCCAAGGGCAGAGAGCGAGAGAAGAAAGAAAGUGCUUUCUUGGAUUUAGUUUUCCCCCCCAAGGGAAGUAACAGACCAGGCUUGGCCAGCAUAGCUAUUUCUAUAAACUACAGCUUUCUGUACAGUUGUGUAUGCAAGGAAAGUUAUAUUUUCAAAUAAUUUUAUUAAUUUUUCAUACUUUUUUCCUUCACGUAUUUAACAGACAAAUAAGAUAUUCCAUGAAUAACAGUUUUAAAAUGACUGCAGAGUCAAUUUUUGAUUAAUAAAUGUAAUCUCUAGAAAGAUUCUAAGGUAUCU